UGUUAAACGUUUCAUCCAUUUAUAUAGUUAAAAACUGAUGUAGUUAAUGGAAUAGCCAAACAAUGAUACGUGGUGUGUCAUGUGUACCUCAUGCUAACGUACAUGGACUAGUUUUUAACAACGGGAAUUGAUGGAAUUGUUAAUA
rfam:Gossypium raimondii Chr09_contig_1786, whole genome shotgun sequence.